rnacentral:snRNA from 1 species
GUGCUCGUUUGGCAGCACAUAUGCUAAAAUUGGAACAAUAAAAAAGAAGAUUAGCAAGGCCCCCGUGCAAGGAUGACACGCAAAA